rnacentral:rRNA from 1 species
ACUCAAAUGAAUUGACGGGGACUUGCACAAGCAGAGGAUUAUGUGGUUUAAUUCGAUGAUAAACGAAGAACCUUACCAAGAUUUGAAACCUAGCUGAAUAUUUUUGGAAACAGAAAUAGUCCCACAAGGACAGUUAGGCAGGUGAUGCAUGGCCGUCGUCAGUUCGUGAUUUGAAUUGUUCCCUUAAGUGGGGUAACGAACGCAACCCUCGUUGUCUGUUACACGUAUCAGGCGAGACUGCCCAGCUUUGAGAGCACGAAGAUGAAUUCAGUUGAAUUCGCUUCGCGAAUUCAAAGCUGGGAGGAAGGCGAGGAUGACGCCAGGUCAGCAUGUCCCUUUGAUAUCUUGGGCUACACACAUAAUACAAUGGUGGCCACAACGCGUUGCGACGGGGUAACCCUGAGCCAAUCGUAAUAAAAGCCGCCCCAGUUCGGAUUGAGGGCUGAAACUCGACCUCAUGAAGUUGGAUUUGCUAGUAAUCGCGGGUCAGAUAUACCGCGGUGAAUACGUUCUCAAGUCUUGUACACACCGCCCGU